rnacentral:Y_RNA from 13 species
GGCUGGUCCGAUGGUAGUGGGUUAUCAGAACUUAUUAACAUUAGCUCACUAAAGUUGGUAUACAACCCCCCACUGCUAAAUUUGACUGGCUUUU